rnacentral:rRNA from 1 species
AACGAACGCUGGCGGCGUGCCUAACACAUGCAAGUCGAACGAGAAAGGGGCUUCGGCUCCGAGUAAAGUGGCGCACGGGUGAGUAACACGUGGGUAACCUGCCUCUAAGAUUGGGAUAACUCGUCGAAAGAUGAGCUAAUACCGAAUAAGACCACAGUUCCCGCGGGAACAGGGGUCAAAGGUAGCCUCUGCUUGCAAGCUAUCACUUAGAGAUGGGCCUGCGCACCAUUAGCUAGUUGGUAGGGUAACGGCCUACCAAGGCAAAGAUGGUUAGCUGGUCUGAGAGGAUGAUCAGCCACACUGGAACUGAGACACGGUCCAGACUCCUACGGGAGGCAGCAGUGGGGAAUAUUGCGCAAUGGGCGAAAGCUUGACGCAGCAACGCCGCGUGAGGGAUGAAGGCCUUCGGGUCGUAAAGCUCUGUCGGGAGGAACGAAUGCUCCUGAGGUUAACAGCCUCGGGAGGUGACGGUACCUUCAAAGGAAGCAACGGCUAACUCUGUG